rnacentral:other from 1 species
AAUACUCUGCCUUGUACGUGUCAGUAUAGUUUUUAUAAUCCAACACUCAUUUAAAGGGAAUUCGGCUCUGAACUGGGGAUUGCAGACCUCCCACAUGUUUAUUGUGGACGAAGGGAGCGUGAGACUUUCAGGAGAAUACCCACCUUGCUUAACAGCUUGGUUUUAUUCGCUAUAUGACGGCAAGGCGGUUUUAUU